CUUGGGCUACACUAAGCGCUUAACCCGCUGUCCCUAAAAACCUUUUUAACUCUCAAAAAAACUUAUUCUACAAGAUAAAAUAAUAUUGACCGAUUGUUUUUGCUAUGACGGAGUAACAACGGUUUGUAAACUCUGUUUUUAUUUUAGCUGUCGUUGCGGGAAAAUUUGUUUUAAAAAAUAUUUUAGUCGCAACACUAUAAUGGUGUAUGCGCUUCACUUGAUUUACGACAUACUACAUACUUGUAUCAACGCUCUCCACCGGAUUGUGUGGCACAGUUUGCGGUUCUUAUUAAGCACUCCUCGAGUGUUUAACGCCGGCUCACACAUUUGCUUGAGGUUUCCUCGGCGUUUUUUUAAUAACGUUUUCUUUAAUAAUAGCCGGAUUUUGUUCAAAAUGGAUGCGCGUAGCUUUUCUUUGGAAAAUCCCAGCAACACGCAAUUUUUACGGAUUAUGAAGCACUCCGACCUACGGUUAUUAUAAAAGCUGGGGUGUUAAUAAGUCUGUUGGUAAGUCCGUUUCUCUUUCCUGUACCUAUAGAAAUAUUUUUUUUCUGGAUGUUUUUGCAUGUUAAAAUGAAUUUCUCGUCACGUUUUCUAGCCAUGGAUAAAUCUUAAACAAACCAAUUUUAAGAUUUUGCCUGCAAACGUAGAUUUCGCGGCAGCAUCGUACUGAAGUCAGAUAGCUACAGAUUGUCUUAUUUAAUCUUAUUCUUACAUAAUAUGGUAUAUUGUUAUUUAUUUUUAUGUUGGUGUUGUGGCUGUCCAACUAGCUCUUUAGCCCCAUCUGGCUGAAGAGUAAAAAUAGUCUAAUGCAGUUUGACUAGCUAUAACAAAAUUCUUAAUUAAUAAUUUUUAUGCUAUAUACAUUUAGGUAGCUAGAUCUUUUAUUAUUGCCAUUAAAACAUAUUUUGCACAAUAAAAUUGCUGAGUAAUUGUUGUAGCUCGGCAGGGUUACAUCGGGUUGUUUCCUGUGUUUUUAUUUAAACCAAAGUUGCGUUAAAGUUGUAUAGGAAGAGAGUAUUACGCUUAUAAGGACGUGCAACUUGGUUUACCUGUACUAAGAGAUUAGUCCGGUGCCACGAUUAGUUUUUGAACUUUUCCUUCAAAAUAAAGCAAUGUUGCAUGAUUCUUUUUGCUUUAACAGGGGAAAAACAGGUUGCAAACUGUGUUUUAACUUUUAUAAAAACGUUUCCACAAAAUAAAAUUGCUGAAUGAUGGUUUAGCUGCAUAGGGUUUAAACCGAAGGUAGGAUAUUUUUGGAAAAGAGUAUUUAACUAAACGGAUAUGCGACACGUUAUACCUGUACUUAAGCGCUUAGCCCAGUGUUAACGACAUGCCGUUCUUGUGUUUCUAUUUAUCUGAAGUUGUGAUAAAGUUGUUUUUGGAAAAGUGCGUUACGCCUAUAUCAAUGUGUGACAUUGUUUACCUGCACUAAGUGCUUAGCCCGGAUUAACAUUUAUUUUUGAACUUUCACCCGUAACAUUUUCCAAAAAAUAAAAGGUUGGACGAUUGUUUUGACAGGGUAACAGCGGGUUGUAAACUGUGUUUUUAUUUCAGCUUAAGUUCCCAGAAAGAUAUUAUUUGAAAAAAAAACAUUAGAACCGAAAUACUAAAUAUAUAACGUUUGUGUGCGCUCCACUUGCUUUACGACAUAUUGCAUAACCGUUAUAAAUUGUCCUACGAGAAUAUGUGGCACUAUUAACGGCUCUUAUUAAUCGCUCCACCGGACGUUCAAUGCCGUAUAACACAGUUAGCUGUUGCUUAACCUGGCGUUUCCUGUGCUUUUGAAACGUGUAUUACACCUGUAUGUCUGUGCGGGAAAAUUAUUUUUUGAAAAAUAUAUUACAGCCGCAACACAAGAUAAAGUGGCAAAGGUCCUGGCUGUGAUUAAGCGCUCCACAGAGUGUUCAAUGCCUGGUCACACAGUUACUUUUGGCUUAACCUGCAUUUCGACGCAAGGUUCCCCGAACGGUAACUAAAUUCCAUUGUUUAAGCGUGAAUGAUUCGUAACGCUUGGAUUCACACAAGUAAAGCAAUGAGAGAUGUGAACAUAAAGCAUAUAAAUGAAAUCCCAGCUUUCCGUUUUACACUACAGAAGCAAAUUUACGAGUAAGCGAGUGAAUAUACCAUAAUUAUCAUCGAGCUGGCGGGUAAAACUACUGGUGAUAAUAAAAAAAGCAUUUAUUCUUUGAUUUACCAAUUAAAACAAAUGAAUGACUUAGGUUUUGUAUUUUUGUGCAAAGGAAACUGGCUUUAAAAAUAUAAAAAUAAAACACUUAACUUUUA